rnacentral:lncRNA from 1 species
GCUCCUGCACAGCAGAGAGCGCUGGGAGCCGGAGGGGAGCGCAGCGAGUCCUGGCCCAUGGUCGUGCAGUCUAGGGGGCUGGAUGGCAUGCUGGACCCAAGGUCAGCUCAGCGUCUGGGCCCAAUAACGGCUUUUCCAAGGGAGCAGCUUUCUGUCCUGGCCACAUCAAGCUUCCAGGGACAUGUUAAGAGUCUGAGCUGCCCACCUCUGAAGUAACAGAACACAGGAUAACGUUUCCCUUGAAUAGACAGAGCAUCAGUCAGACCCUCCACACAGCUCCUGGUCUCUCUGAGCAGGCAACCUUGUGAGAUAAAACGUCCCUGAUCACUCUCACGCUCUUGGCUGUGGAGUAGAAGGCAGGGAGAACUCCAGAUCAGGGGAUGGAGGCCAGCUUUGAGUGCCACUUCCACCAGGUGUGUGCCCACGUCGGAUUCCUCACUCUUACUGCCUUUCUGUUUCCUCCUCUGUGCAAUGGGAGUAAUAAGGCCUCCUCCCAAGUUUGCUGUGAUGAUUAAUGAGAUACUUAUGCCCGAUAAAGGAUGAUGAUAAUUACGAUCUCACCUCAUUCAUUUUAAGACAUAUGUCUAAGAAUACAGACCAGUAGCUUCUGUUCCCAGUAAAGCCACGGGUGCUGUACGCACUCAUGCUUUCUGGCUGCAUAUUUCAAUCAUGGGCACUUUAAGUGUUUUUGGACCAAAUCUACCUGAUGCCCAGAAACCUGAAAAACCAACUAUGAAAAUCAUCAAAUGUCCAGGCGUUCCCCAGUGUCAAGAUGUGUGGCUUGAGGAAGGUAAAACUUAUCAUCUGUUGUGUGGACUUUUCAUUUUGAUAUUGGUAACCAGUAAGUGCGGCCUCGGGGCGCUGUCCUCUGGAAGGUGCUAAGGCUGAGCAAUGCCAAGCACCCAUGUGCAGAGCCUGCCACUCACUAGCUGCAGAACCUUAGGUCACUCACAGCCCAACAUCCAUGUAUCUCCUCUGUCAAGUUUAAGGAUUGGACCAGAUCACUGGUUCUCAAAAUGCAGUCCCCGGCCCAGCAGCAUCAGUAUUACUGGGGAGUUUGUGAGAAACGUAGAUUUAGAGGCCCCACUCUAGAUCUACCGAGUCAGAGAUUCUGGGAGUGGGGCCCAGCAAUCUGCAGUUUAGCAGAACCUCCAGGUGAUUCUGAUGCCCUGAACCCCUGGACUUGAUAAUCUCUGGUGUCCCUUCCACUCCUAGCUUCCCCCAGGAGAUGCCAGGAGAAACGCUCACUGGGUUCUAUCCUGGCAAUGUUUUUCUCUGUUGCGGCCCCAGGGGUACCUGCCUGAGGGAGCUGAGGAGCCACAAAAUGCCUCUCACACUCCACAAGGGCCCUGACAACUGGGGGUGUCCCAGUCUUUACAACUGAAGACAGCAGCAGGUGUACAUUUCAAGCAAGGCCAAGGGGACAUUGAAAAUGACCCUUGGCCCACUCUCAUGGAGGAGAUGGAGCAGGAGGAGGAAGAGGAAGAGGCUGGAUUUUCUCAGCCAUGGGAACCUCGUCUCACUAACACUAAUGACUCCAAUUCACUGAGCCAAUCCUUGGCCCCAGAAUCACUAACAGCUCUAGGCACCACCCCUCUGAGGCAGGAAUUAUCACCCUCCCUGGACAGUGCACCUCCCCAGGUACGAUCUUCUGGUGCCAUCAGCCCUCCUCGCCACAAGAAUGUGGGAUCGUUCAGGAAAUUUCUGUUAUUAUUGGGGCUAGGAACCACUGGAAACCCACAGAAUGUACCACUGGCCCAGAACAGGGCACUCACAGAAGCCCUGGAUAAAAGGCACCCCCCCACACACACACACACUCUUCAUCAUUGAUUCUCCAUUCAGACUAGGAAGUGGAACAAACACAGAACAUUCAGCAGUGACACAGACACGUUCCCACGUGUGAGCCCCUAAUGGCAUCAUCCCCGGCUGAUCAUUCAGCUCACAGGGCUCUGCUUAGUGAAGCGCUGGCAAGGACUGUCAUGUCUUCAGGAGAAAGGCUUCAAAGGCUGUUUUUAAAAAUAGAUAAAUAAAACUCACUCCCUGGUUCACAUCAACCAAGGAGAGAAUGUUCUUUUGUAAAUUGUGCUUUGUUCAUUAUAUCACUAGAAUAGAAAUCAUACUUUUUUUUUUCUUUUCUUUGUUGCUUCAUUGAUGAUUUUUAAAAAGAAAGACUUAUUUGGGACACCUGGGUGGCUCAGUAAGGUAGGCACCUGCCUUUGGCUCAGGUCAUGAUCUCAGUGUCCUAGGAUCCAGCUCUGCAUUGGGAUCUGCUCAUGCUCUCUCUGUCUCUCUCAAAUAAAUAAAUAAAAUCUUUAAAAAAAGAAAAA